AAGACUUCUAGUCCGAUGGUCCGGGUCCCAGCCCUGCCCACCCCCUGGCUUUGAGCCAGGCACGUCUUAUUCCUGAGCUCUUUAUUCCCAUUGUUACAGCGGGCAGGGUGCGCCGCUGUUCAACACUGCACUUGUUAAAUCGAAGGAAACAGCCUGGCCUGUGGCUGACUCACGCGCGUGCUUGCAGCGGGUGCCACGGCCUGGGCCUGGCCUGGCUCACCUGCGGGGGGCCCAGUGAGGGACCAGACCUUGCAGUGAAAGGGGUAGCGUUGAAAGUGCGGUAGAGGACAGAGUGGAGGCCAGGCGUGAGUUCUGCGUGGCAGGAGGGGGAGUCCGCGCAGGUUCCACCCAGGAGAUGACCUCUAAACUGGGCCUUGAAGAUGAGGUGGCAGUGGGCCGCUCCUGGCAAAAGGGAUGCCUGAAAGCCUGCACGGGCCAUCGAUGUGUCUGGAGAGUUCUGAGAAUGGCUGCCAGACCAGUGUUGGGCCUGUGGGUAGACAGUAGGUGGGCUUGGAGGGGGACAGGGGGAAAGAGUGUGGAGGACCCCCAGUGCCCCUGCAAGUGGUGAAAAGCUGCAGAGGGUCCUCAGGCAUGGAACUAACAACAGAUGUGUGUUUCAGUAAAGCGACUCUGGCAGGAACCAGAUAGGAAUUGUAUUUGUACAAAGGGGAUGUUGGAGGAAGGAAGUUAAUUUCAGCCCGGGGAGUGCAGUGGGGAUGGAGAUGGAAGCAGGAUUUAAGCAGGAUUUCAGAGAGAUUUUGGAGAUAAUCAACAGGCGUCACUGGCUACCCAUCACAGCUGAAUCUAAGAUGACUCCUAGUUCUGGAGAACCAGGGGGACUGAGUCAUUAAGACAUUUGAGUUUCUGUGAAGUGCAGACCUUGUGCCAGGUGCUCAGCAUCCGAGAUAAAAAAGACCUAGUCUCUGCCCUUAAGGCGUUUGUUGUUGAAUCCAGGAGGUGGAUGCGUAACUAGGUGAUUAUAUCUCUGUACAUGUGGUGACGAGCAUCACGUGUCCCUGCCUGAGCCUGAGGUGGGGUUGGGGCAGGGAGGGCUUCCCGAAGGAGGGAGGCCUGAGCGUCAGGGAAACUGGAAUUGCCAGGCAAUAUGAGCAUCUGAGGCACAGAAAGUGUGUGAGCAGGAAGGCCAGGCCGUUUGUGAUGUGUUUGGAGAGUUAGAAGCAGACACUGGAGUGGAGAGGAUCUCAUCGAGCCAGGUGCUGGCGUGUGAAGUGGGAGGUAGAGCUUGAGUUUUAUUCUCAAGGGUGUGGGGAGCCAUGGCAAGGCUUUACUUGCAGGAGAGCUCAUUCAGAUUUGGCUUGGGAGGGCUUAGCCUGGGUGCAUUGUAGGGAAAAGCUCAAAAGAGGAGAAGCUUGUAGGGAAGGGCGUGGCAGGAAGUGCUGGGGAGCCAGAGUCGGGGGCUGAACCUGGGCAGUUCAGCAGGGCCAGGGCAGGAGCAGGGCCAGCGUGGGGAGUACAGGAAGGAGACUGGUGGAGGGGCAGUGGAGGCGGAGUGGGGAGGGUGGGUGCAUGGGGCCUUGGGGACAUCCCAGUCAAGAUACCUAAUGGCAGUUUACUAGCUAAGGCGACUGGCAGUUGACUUAACCUUGGUAAGCUUGUCUCCUCACGUGCAACGUAGGGAUGGCAGUACCUACCUCAUAAUGCUGGGGUGAGUCACUCGACAAGAUAUUUACUUAGCACUUUCCAGUGUUCUGGGUGCCAGGGAUUCAGCUGGACUGCUGCAGUGUAAAAGACACAGGCAAUACAAGUAAAGGUAAAAAUAUAAGGCCCAAUUAGAGGUGCAGAUUUGGCUAUGGUCCACAUCAAAUCUCCCAGAAGAGCAUGGCGUGAGUGAGCAUUCCCCAGUUGCUGGGCAAGGUGGAGGCUGCAUGAUGACAGGGUGCUGGCCAGCAGGGAUUGCACUGAGAGAGGAGCUGGCUCUCGGAGUUUAAUGGUGUGGAUGCAAACUACCAGGAGUCUCAUGGGAGGAACCCAGGCCCAUGGGGCUUUGCCAGGAGCCUGCCUUCUCUCAAUAUCCACACCCUCAUGAGCUCGGUGUGACCAUCCCGUUUUUACUGAUGGUGGGAUUGAGUGAGGCGGAGCGAGGUUAGAGCGACUCGCGGCCCUGGGAAGGCCGAAGCCCCCUGACCGAGUGUGUCGCUUGCUGGUCCUGGCCUUGGAGACUCAGGCGUGCUGGGUUCCAUGCGGUGGCCUGCUCAGUGCAUCCGGCCCGGAGAGUUGGCUGGAAGCAGCGUGUGAUCUGGUUUGAAUUUAUCUUCGGAAGUUUUCCAAGUGGGUCCUGCCGCAGUGUGUUAGAUUGGGUGUUGCCAUCCUCCUUCACCCUCUUAUGUCAGACUUCUGGAGAGAGCCACCAGCAAGGACUGCUCUGGCAGCAGCAUUGAAACAAGUCCCUCUGGGAUGGACUCCGUGCGGCUGGUCAAGCACAGGUGCCUGGCUGAACUAUCCUGGUGUGGGACAUACAAGGUCAAGUCAAUGGGAUGGGGUUACUACUGCACAUACCCUGCUGCCCUCGGUGACCGGAACCUGGACAAAAUAUAUGUAUCAACUAUUUCCAAACGUUGAACAAUAGGCAGCACAGAGCUGUGAUGCCUGAGAAAAAGGGAACAGGAAAGGUAAGUGCUGUAGUGGCCCCGAUUUCUGCCUGGAGGUGCUUCGUGAACUGCAGUGUGGGGAACAAGGACCCGAGCAGCGUCUGGUGGCUCCACUGCAUUGAAGAGUGGAGAUGGGAGUGCAGGGACUCUGCUUGGAUUUGUGGGCCAGAGAGCCUGGAGAGACGGGAACUCUGCAGAGGAGGAGCUGCGGGAAUCCUCAGGGGGUGCCCGCGGUGUUUGUGGGUUACUGCGCUGUGCAUGCACAUGUGAGAUGCCAGGAGAAGGGCCGAGGACAACUGCCAAGGAGCCGCAAGGGGGCCGGUGCCAAGGGCUCAGCAGCAGUGGACAGUUCUUGCUGACCCCGGGCAGGCUGUAGAGACCCCCAAGGGGUCCUACCUUGGUAGUGGGGUAAAUAAACCCAGAGUGAGAGUAGCUUAGACCCUCCCCUCAAAAGCUUAAAAACAAGCCUUGAAAGGAUCCAGCUAAACUGCAAUCGAUGUAAAUGCUGGCCUGUACAGACUUGGAGGAAAGGAAAACUCUAGGCCAGGGUCCUUCUUGAAUGUGGGUGUGAGAAUUCUCACCAGAUGUCAUUGACUCUGAUUCAGCCGCGUCUAAAAAGGGUCAUACAUCAUGGUCAGUAGAGUUUAUCCCAGCAGUGAAAGGUUGGUUCUAACUUUGAAAGUCAGUCAACGUAAUUUUUCAUGUCAACAGACUGAAGAAGGAAAAUGUUAUAAUCAUCUCAAUAGAUGCAGAAACGGCAUUUAACGAAAGUCAGCGUCCAUCUGUGAUUAAACAGACAACUCAGCAAGCCAGGAUCUAAAGAGAUUUUCCCGACCCUGGUAGAGGCGUCUGCAAAGCCCCUUCAGUGGCCUCAUGCAUAAUAGAGAGAGAGGGGAUGCUUUUCCUCUGCGAUCGGGAACCAGGCGAGGGUGUCCAACCUCACCACUUCUAUUCACCAUCAUCCUGGAGGCUCUAGCAAGUGCAGAAGGCAAGAAAAAGAGAGAAAUGAAAGGCAAACAGAUUAGAGAGAGAGAGAAACCAUCUUUAUUUGCAGAUGAUGUGAUUUUCUACGUAGAAAAUCCAGUGGCAUCUACACAAAAGCUAGGACUGCAGGUGAAUUUAGUUGUAUACUAGUAAAGAACCAUUAGAAACUGAAAUUAAAAACAUUUCCAUUUACAAUAGAACCAAAAAUCAUGAAAUACUUAGGCACAAAUCCUACAAAAUACACACAAGAACUGUUUGCUGAAAACUAUGAAACACAGAUGAAAGAAAUCAAAGAAUUCCUACAUAAAUGGAGACAUGUAUUGUUUCGUGGAUUGGAAUAGUCAAAACUGCUAAGAGGUCAGUUCUCCCCAAAUUGGUGUACAGAUUAAACUCAGUCCGGUUAACAUCCCAGCAGGCUGUUUUGUAGAGAUCGACACAGUGAGUGUGAAGCUCUGGGGAAGGCCAAGGUGCUGGAAUACACACGACAACUUCGAAGGAGAAGAAUGUGUCGAAGGACACACGCCGUCCGAUUUCAAGACUUCCUGCGAAGCUGCAGUCACCAGGGCAGGUGGUACUGGAGAGGGAUGGACACACAGAUCAGGGGAAUGGAAGAGCAUCCAGAAAUAGCCCCACACAAAUGUGGUCGAUUGAUUUUCAACAAAGUGUGAACCAGUUUAGUGGAGACUGGAUUGUUGGGGGUUGAAAGUCCUUGCGGAUAUCUAUAGGGUGGUCGGAAGUAUGGAGCGUCUGGAAUGCAGGGAGGGCUUCUGGGCCCCAGAGACACAGUUUUGGGAGUUAUUGCGUUAGAGGUGGAAGUGGAAGUCAUGGGGAGGUGUGCACUCCCCCGGGUCGGUGGGAAGAUGGAGGAGAAUGCCAGGGAUGGCCUUCUGAGUCUGGCAUGGGAGAGUGACAGGACCUCGAGAGGGAUCAAAGGCGGGGACACACAGAUGUUUACUUAAUGGUGAACAUAUGUGGGAGAGGAGCUGCCCCUAAGCACAAGUAAGACCAGCUUGGAAAAGGCAUCACUGGGGUCCCACUCGUGUCCUUGGAGCCAGCCAUUCCAUCAGGGUGGUGUAGGAGAAGUAAGUGACCCAGAGGUGACAAGUGGAGAACAGGUAGCAUGGACAGAACCAUGGAAACAACAUGAGUGCAUGCGAGUCAGACAGCAGCUGCUGCACCUCGGUCUGGUGUCGCCUUCCAGUCUGCAUGGAAGGGACCACGGGCCAUGCCACACAGUUUUCCUUAGUAGUGGCCUUUAAAAAACCACCGCCAUUUGGAGUACUUUCUAGGCGCCAAAUGCUAAUCUAAAUGCUUCAUAAAUAUUAAAUCGCUUCACCCUCGCGACUCUCUGAAGUAGAUACUAUUGUCCCCAUUUUACAGAUGAGUGAACUGAGGCCACGCUCUGAGCAGAGAUGCUGGGCUUUGAGCCCACGCCCGUCCACACCACAUUUUGCUCUCUGGCUCAGGAGGAUGAGAAUAGAGAGCUACGGUAAUGCCUCAGGAGGCCUGGAGGGUUUGCACAUUGUGCCUGCUUCUCAUGACACCCUGCGAGGCCACACACCGGUCCUGUCCCACAGCCCACGCCUAGCAUGGACCCAUGUGUCGUCCUUGCAAAGACUGUGCAUGGGAAGUACCCUGGUCUCUGGCCUCUGGCCCUCACCCCAGGCUGCCUGCCUCCCUGCUGCUCAGAAGCAGAUGCCCCCGAAUCCCCGACUCACCACUGCGCUGCCGCCUCGCACCCUCCCUGCCUCUCGCACUGGACUUGAGUUCUUUCCUCCGUGGGCAGCUUUUGAAACGACAAGAAAAACAGGCACGAAGAAGCUACAUCGAAGGAUCCCGACCAGGAGAAGCGUCAGAGCAGAGGUUCUGCCACAUUUGGUGAUACCUGUGCGAGCUGGGAGCCCAAGGCUGCGACAUGGUCCUGGGGUCCUGCUGCACCUGCCGCGAGUGUGAACAGAUGGAUGGCAGGAUGGGAGGCAGAGGACGCGGCUGUGGGCUGGCUGCCCAGAGAGCAUGUGUACAGAAGGAGAUCUUCCACAGAAGGAGCCUGGGGACAGGCCGUUCUCUCCACGCAGUGAGGACGGGAGGAGCACAGCCCCAUGCUAGCGAUGCUGAGUCUGCCAGCACCUUCAGUUGUGUCAAUGCGGCACGGAACGAGAGAAGAAAAUGCAGGACAUCAGGGCCUUGCCUCCCGCUGGUAUGUGACCCCCCAAAAUUUGUCUGGAGCCACAGAUCUGCUGCCCCCAUCGUGCUUCCUGUCUCAGUGGAUGGUACCACUGCCGCCUACUGCCUGAGCUGGCCUCUGGGGCCAUCCACUGUUAUGUGGCUGAUUCACCUCACACCUCUUCCUACUUACCCACUAGAGCCACCAUGAAACAGAGGCUCCUCCACGCCAGGACAUGUCAGCUGGGUACUGAGGCCCAGCAAGGUUAAGAGACUUGCUCUGGAGACGUGACACCAGCAAAAACGGCGGAGCUGGAAAUUCUCUCCUCUGCAAAAUCAACAAGGACACUCUCAAUUAUUAUCAUAAUCAACUUUUUCAAAACUCUGGAAAUUUGUCAAAGGCUUGUAGAAAUCUGGGGAGUUUGUUCCAGGAAAAAAGCUGAAUCUUAGUAGGAACAGUGAGCUUUGUGGUUUUAACUCUCUCUGUUCUCAUUCGCCUCUCCUUAGCUCCAUGGUAAGCUUGAAAGCCAGCAGCCUGUAAUCACGGUGAAGAUGAGCAGCCUGGCAGCCGCUGGAAGGUGCAGAACAGGGUUGAAGUUCUUUCAAAGACCCAUUUCCAGAGAAUUGUCCUUAUUUGACCUACCUGGUCAUUCCCUGAAGACUGCCCCCACACAAAGGCUGUUUUCAUUUGAUCUGGCUUGGAGCUUGGCCAGUGCAAACAGCCUUUUCCUCAGGAGCAUUUGUUGAAAACAAUCAGAGACAGUUGUUGAAAUGUUGCCUGAGGUGGUUUAUAACAGUUGGGGAAAACAAUAGGUUAACCAACACACUUACAAGGAGAAGCUGGGAAAUGAAAUAUCUAUGAGGCUUUGGAAAGCUCUAGCAUGUCCUUGGGAGUCGAGAAGGGUGUGCAUAGGGUUGUGCAUGUACUCAGGAGAACCUCAAUCCUCCCCUCUGGCUAACCUUGGGGCUCUGCACGAGUGAAAGGUGGAGGCUAAGGUGGAGUCACAAACGGCCUGGCUGGGUGCUGCAGGUGUGCCCCCUCCCACACACAGAGCCCCUCCACAAAGGCUGAGAGACAUAUCGGUUCCACGCAGCUAAAGAAAUUUCUCUACAAACCUUAGCUGACCGUUAAGUUACCUGAGCAGAGACUUCAGUGGUCACAUAGGAAAAGAAUAUAAACUUUACAUAUUUAGUUCAGGAAAGUCACUAAACAAACAAACAGCCACAAUAACAAACCCUGGGGAGGGGUGGCCAGAAUCUAAUUUCUAGAGUUGCUGCAUUAUAUUAUUUAAAAUGUCCAGUUUUUAACAAUAAAAAUUAUGAGACAUUCGAAGAAACAAGAAGGUAUGCCCCAUACACAGCCCCUCUAUCAUGUGUGGGUCAUACUUUCUUCCUCAGGGGGAGGGGUCCCAGAGGAAACCCAGGCAUUGGAUUCACAGGACAAAGACUUUAAAUUAACUAUUGUAAAUAUGUUCCAAGAACUAGCAGAAACCAUGUCUAAAGAAUAAAAGGAAACUAGGAGAAUGAUGCCUCACCAAAAAGAGAAUAUCAAUAAAGAGAAAUUAUAAAAAAGAACCAAGUAGAAAUUCUAGAGUUGAAAAGUACAAUAACUGAAGUAAAAAAUUCUCUAGAGCAGCUCAAUAACAAAUUUGGGUGGGUGGAGGAAAGAAUCUGCAAACUUGAAUAGGUCAAUUGAGAUUAUCCAGUCUGAGGCACAGAAAGAAAAGAAUGAAGACAAAUUAACAGAGCCUCAGAGACCUGUGGCACACCAUCAAGCAUAUGAACAAAUGCAUAAAAGGAGUCCCAGAAGGAGUGGGGAGAGAGGAAAGGUCAACAAGAAUAUUUGAAGAAAUAAUGGCUGAAAAUUUGAUGAAAAACAUUAUCUGUGCAUCCAAGAAGCUCAAGAAACUCCAGGUGGAAUAAACUGAAAGAGAUUCACACUCAGACACAUCAUAAUCAAACUAUCAAAAGCCAAAAACAAAGAGAAUCUCAAGAGCAGCAAGAAAAAAGGCAACUCAUGAUGUACAAUAGAGCUUCUGUAAGGUAAACAGCUGAUUUAUCAUCAGAAACCAUGGAGGCCAGGAGGCAGCAGUAUGGCAUAUUCAAAGUGCUAAAAGAAGAAAAAAAAACACUGUUAACCAAGAAUUCUAUAUGUGACACAGCUGUCCUGUAAAAAUGAAGGAGAAAUUAGCAUAUUCCCAGGUAAAUGAAACCUGAGAGUUUGUCACUAGCAUACCUGUCCUAUAACAAAUGCCAGAAACAAUCCUUCAGGCUGAAAUGAAAGAACUCUAGACAGUCUCAACUCCACAAGAAUAAAUAAAGAACAACAUGAAAGGUAACUACAUAAGUAAAUGUAAAAGACCGUAUGAAUGUAUUUUUGUUUGUAACUCCUUUUUUCUCCUACCUGAUUUAAAAGGCAAGUGCAUAAAGCAAUAAUCGUAAAUCUAGGUUGAUGGGCACACAAUGUAGAAAGAUGUAAUUUGUGACAAUGAUGGCACAGGUGGGGGACCAAGCUACAUAGAAGCAAAAUUUUUGUAUACUAUUGGAACAAAUUGGUAUUAAUCCUAACUAGAUUGCUAUAAAUUAAGAUGUUAAUUGUAAUCCUCAGGGAAAGCACUAAUAAAAUAAGUAAAAAUAUGGGGCCGGCCCCGUGGC